rnacentral:lncRNA from 1 species
AGGCUGCCCGGGAGCCCUCGCCGUGCGCGCCGUCGCCCGCCUCGCCCGCCUCGCCCGCCUCGCCCGCCUCGCCCGCCUCGCCCGCCUCGCGGUGAGUACGCGGCUCCGCCGGGCUGCCCCUCUUUCUCGAGCGCCCGCGGCCCCGGUGCGUUCGCCGCCGACUUGAGGAUGGGGAGGCGGGCUGGGCUCCGGAGGGCGUGCGCUCGCCUCUCCUCGCUUCGCGCGCUCGCGGGUGGAGCAGCGGCGCUCCGAGCUACCGGCGGGAUUGAGGUCGUAAGGGCCGGUAGGUGAGCCUAGCAGAUCCCGCAGCACCGCGCGGGGCGAGUGAGCCCUGGGCAUCCUGGACAAGAGGGUGUGACUGCCAUCUUUGAGCCACUUCUUUGUUUGGAGUUCACGUAGGACUUAUGCCCAUUGUACAGAUGUGAACCUUCAUAGGUAAAACUGAGGCCUGCAGCGUUUCGGAGACCACCCAAUGUGUUGAUGGGAAUAAUUUAACGUAGUUUCGAGCUGGGGAUAUCUACGCGCGAGGAUAUUUCUAGUCGUCUUGCUGAGUUUAAAUAAAACUUUGAAGCGGGGCAUGAACGUGCACGCCUGUAACCCCAGCAUGGGGGCAGACAGAGGCAGCAAGCUCUCCUGUGCGUUCCAGGUCGUCAGUGAGGACUACAAAAUUAGUCUCAAAAAACCCACCAAACCAAACUAUGAGUGUUUAGUUCCCAUCAUUGGUUAAUCUUGUCCAGAGUCAGAGAUUCGUUAUGUUGUAAAAAGUCCUUUGUGUGGAAAUGGUUGGGACUUUAAAGAUGAAAUAUUUACUGCAGGCAAAAUCUGAAACAUUAAAUUGUUUUACUUUUAGAAUAACAAAGGAUCCUGGAAAAGUUGGAGAAGAUAAAGUACACCCAGUGUCCAGAUCAGGAGAUUGACAGACCAGGUAAGCUCUGGGAAGUUAACUGGAUACGAAGAAACAUCAGGAUAUUAGAGUGUGUGAUUCCUGGGCUAUGAUGAAAGAUUGAAAAAUCUCUUGAAAAAAAGAUGUAUAUUGGAAGUGUAUAAAAUUUUAACCAUCUUAUGGAGGAAGCAUAAAGUGAGAAAUGACCUAAUCUAAAAGGUAUUCAGUUUUUUGUUUGAUUCUCCCCCCCCCCC